AUGAGUGCGGGUGUGGAGAAGCCAAACAACAAAAGGGCCACGGCGGCCGAUCCGACCAGCCGAGGCGAUGCCGACGCCAAGAGGACGAAAAGGAAUCCGGGGAGCGACGGGGAAGAUGAUCUGUCGCCUGAUUCCGUCGACCACGCGUACGCCCUUGUCUUUGCCAAGAUUGCACAAGACGAAAUAGACCAAGAGUCAGCUCCCCGCCCUGUGCAAAUUCCUACAAUCGCUUACUUCAAACCUCCGACCUUGUUUCACACUGAUGAGCUCUUUUCUGUCCGUCGAUCUGGAACAAAGGCCGUGCUCUCGGCAGCCAAAUUUCUUCUAGGGGUUUCAUCCUCUCUCGAUGGUGAACCGCUAAGACGGUGCUCUGGCUUCUGGAUUGAUUGGGAUGAGGAGAGGAAAACCGGCCUUGUUCUGACAACCGCGCGGCUGAUUCGCACAAAGGAUGCUCCUGUCAGCGUCUGGUCAGGCGGUGAAGAGUAUGCUACAAACGCUGAUGUCACUGUUCAUUUGCUAAAUGGCACCAGUGCAAAGGGUCAGCUGGUCUAUCACCAGCCCCACUAUGAUCUCGCUUUCCUGAAUGUUCAGAUGGAUCAACCAAUCAAGUUACCAUCUUUUAAUGAAGAAGAUGUAGAAUUUGCUCAAAAGAUUUUUCGACUCGGAAGAGACAAUGCCUUAAAUCUAAGGAUAACAUAUGCUAGAGCAGAAUAUCUGAAUCCAACCAUGUAUGAACGGUACCACAAUAUAUAUUUCCGUUCUCCAGAUGGCCAUGGCGAUGAUAAUGAGUAUGACAAUGGGGGGCCAGUUAUUGACUUGGGUGGAAAAGUGGUCGGAAUUGUCAAUGACCCUGAGAGAUUUGAGUCUUUUAUACCUUCUUCCAUUGUGCUCAAUUGUUUGGAUUCAUGGAGGAAAUAUCGGCAUUUCGCCCGGCCCCAUCUUGGAAUGACGUUUAAGGCCAUCGAACUUCUAGAACCUGCUCAUGUUGACAUGUUAUGGCGUAUGUAUAACAUUGAUGACGGUCUUGUUGUUCAAGAGGUGUCGAAAGGAUCUAAUGCUGAGAUACUCGGAGUCCAAAAAGGUGAUGUUAUUGAAUCUAUCAACGGAAAACGUGUUUCUACCACAAUUGAGUUCGAAAAUAUGCUGAUGAGCACAUGCAAGGUCCGUUCAGGUGCUGAAGUUCAUAUUUCUGUUGGGGUGUUUCACACACUCAAAAAAGAACGAAGCACCAUAGAGUUGACCACAAAUUUAUCCGAACUUGGAGAAGUCAUUACAAGCUAG
rnacentral:rRNA from 1 species